UACGGAGGGAGCUAGCGUUGUUCGGAAUUACUGGGCGUAAAGCGCACGUAGGCGGCUUCGUAAGUUAGAGGUGAAAGCCCGGGGCUCAACCCCGGAAUUGCCUUUAAGACUGCAUCGCUUGAAUCCGGGAGAGGUGAGUGGAAUUCCGAGUGUAGAGGUGAAAUUCGUAGAUAUUCGGAAGAACACCAGUGGCGAAGGCGGCUCACUGGACCGGCAUUGACGCUGAGGUGCGAAAGCGUGGGGAGCAAACAGG
rnacentral:rRNA from 1 species